UGAGAUGGGGAGGAGUGGGGGCCAUGUUGUUCUUAGAAUGAGAUGGGGAGGGAGUGGGGGCCAUGUUGUUCUUAGAAUGAGAUGGGGAGGUAGUGGGGGCCAUGUUGUUCUUAGAAUGAGAUGGGGAGGGAGUGGGGGCCAUGUUGUUCUUAGAAUGAGAUGGGGAGGUAGUGGGGGCCAUGUUGUUCUUAGAAUGAGAUGGGGAGGUAGUGGGGGCCAUGUUGUUCUUAGAAUGAGAUGGGGAGGGAGUGGGUGCCAUGUUGUUCUUAGAAUGAGAUGGGGAGGGAGUGGGGGCCAUGUUGUUCUUAGAAUGAGAUGGGGAGGGAGUGGGGGCCAUGUUGUUCUUAGAAUGAGAUGGGGAGGGAGUGGGGG
ensembl:lncRNA